AUGUCUAGAUUAGGGCAUUUUAUGAAAUAGUCCUUGAAUAUUUCCCAUACUUAUGUGUAGCUCUCAAGAUCCCUUUAGUUGAAGUAUAUAUAUUUCAUUUUUGAUCU
rnacentral:snoRNA from 1 species